AAAAUUCCAGGGGGAGCGGCUGAAGGCUGUGCAUAGACUAGUUCAUGGAGGGCAGCUUCGGUUGGGAAGCUGCCACACAGAUCAGGAGGUUGGUAGAUCAGGGCCAGGACUUGUGCCACACUGUCUGACCCUGGAGUCCUCACUAAAAUUCGAGCACUAAGCAUUUCUCUGGCCUCACUCUAGUCCCAGCCCUGUUGAAGGAGGAGUGCUGUAGUAUAUCUAAAUGAAAUAAAUACCCGAUCACAAGUCAUUUCCCAUUCCAUCAUAAUUUGACUGAAAUAAUAUCUAGUCAGAUGCCUGCACAUUAAAACCCUCUUUCAAUCUCCUUGUUCUAAAAGGUAAAAAAGAGACCCAGCAACACUAAGCAAGAUGUGUCCAAGAGCAGCCUUGACACUGUUCAUCCGUAAGACUCUCCUUGAUGAGUCUGCAAGGAUCACAGCAAGCACUCUCUCCAGUUCUCACCACUCACGUGUGUGCAUGACACAGACCUGGCCGUUCCUCACUGCUGGCUCUUUGAACCACCUGGACCUAGAGCUGGGCAGCCAUCCGCAUCCCAGCAAACAGGCAGAGCUGCACCACCAGGGAUGGUGUUGCCAAUGA
rnacentral:lncRNA from 1 species